AUGCUAUGUGAUGAAACGGCAGAGCCCAAGGCUCUGCCACUGUCGCUCCUUCAAGAAAUCACAGGUGAUUUCUCUGAUGAGCAGGAAAUUGGCAGAGGUGGAUUUGCGGUGGUUUAUCAGGGAAAGCUUGAGAACAGGACUGUGGCCGUGAAGAGGAUGUCCAAUACGUAUAUGUACGAGAAGGAGUUCCAGCGAGAAGUUCAAUGUCUGAUGAUAGUGAAGCACAAAAAUGUAGUACGGUUUCUGGGAUAUUGUGCUGACACGCAAGGGAGUAUGGAGAAGUACGAUGGAAAAUUCGUCAUGGCGGAUGUACAACAAAGAUUGCUUUGCUUCGAAUAUCUUCCUAAAGGGAGUCUGCAUGAGUAUAUCACUGAUUCAUCUAGCGGACUUCAGUGGAGGGACAGGUAUCGUAUUAUUAAAGGAGUUUGUCAAGGGUUGCACCAUCUUCAUCAGCAAAAUAUUGUCCACUUAGAUCUAAAGCCCGCGAAUAUAUUGUUGGAUGAUAAUUUUGUGGCAAAAAUUGCUGAUUUCGGUCUAUCAAGGUGCUUUGAUGAAAUGCAAAGCCGGGUUAUUACUGUGAAGAUAGGUGGAACGUUGGGAUAUUUGGCACCAGAAUUUGGUAACGGUGAAAUCACGUACCAGUUUGAUAUCUACAGUCUUGGUGUAAUAAUCACAGAGAUACUCACCGGGAAGAAGGGGUACCACGCCGUUGACAAUGUUGUUGGAAGUUGGAGUAACGUGAUGGAGAAAUCACGUAGAGAUGUACAGCUGGAACAGGUUCGAGUAUGUGCUGAGAUAGGAAUAGAGUGCACCAACUUCAACCCGGCAAACAGACCAGAUAUGCAAUAUGUAAUCAAUAGACUUGCUGAAACAGAAACUAUCGACAGAUAUAUCGAAACUGGUGUGAUUACUUCACACCUAGUAUGGUCACUCUCACAGCAGGCUGAACAUGCUCCAAAUGAACUUCGUCCAGAUACGCCUAACACAGCAGGAGAGGCAAGCUCAGAGGUGAGUCCCUCUCUGAGGAAGCAUGUUCAGGAGAAUGCCAUUGAAGUUACAGUGACAGAGACAAGCCCAUAUAACAGUUUUUGGAAAAAUACUGCAAAGCUAGAGAUGUUGAAUGCAAAGGUUCACAUAUUGAAUGAGACGAUGCGUUCUAUUUGGCUGAGCUAUCAACUGCUUAAUCCAGAUAUCAGACGAUGCUUAGAAUACUGCAGUAUUUUCCCUAGAAGAUGCAAGUUGAGAAGGAAUCAGUUAGUCGCUUUGUGGAUAGCGCAAGGGUUUGUAAAGACCAGUUGUGCAACAGAGGACAUGGAAGAUGUGGCUGAGGGAUACAUUCAAGAGUUAGUGUCAUGCUCAUUUCUACAACCACAACAUUCUUGGGAUAAGAUUGGUUGUUUCACAAUUCAUGAUGUGGUGCAUGGUUUAUUAGACAAGGUCGCUCGAAAUUGCUUCAGAAUCGAAAAUGCAGAUUGCCAGGGAGAAGAAGGAUGGAACGGAGAUGUCCCUCGAGAUGUCCAGCAUCUCUUUGUUGAGAAAUAUGAUACAGAGUUGAUUACCGGGAAGAUCCUUGGAUUGGAAAAUUUGUGCACUCUCAUUGUUUAUGGUGUUGAAGAGGAUACAAUAGUUGAGGAAAGAGUGAUUGAGAGUAUAUGCAAGAGGCUGCUGAAAUUGCGGGUGCUUGCGAUUGCUUUCAGCCAGGAACAUGUUGCAAUCAAGACCAAGGUAUGCAACAAGUUCUCGGUCCCAGAAUCCAUUAGUCAGCUAAAGCGCCUACGCUAUCUUGCUUUUAGGAUAGGCGACCGUAGAAGGGUAAUUUUACCAAGCACAAUAAAUAAACUUCAGCAUAUCCAGCUCCUAGAUUUCGGUGAAGGCAAUAUUGGGGAGUUUAACUUUGGUGACCAUGUCAACUUGCGGUACAUAAUCUGUUACUUCUACAACAAGCAACUUCCUAACAUAGGCGGGUUGAUAUCACUCCAGACACUCGGAGACUUCGAAGUAAGCAACAAACAAGGGUACAAGAUAAAACAGCUGAGGGAUCUAAACAAGCUUCGUGGCUGCCUGUGCAUCAAAGGCCUUGAAGAUGUUAGAAGCAAGGAGGAAGCUCUUGAAGCCAAUCUAGCUGCCAAGGAACGGCUCACGAAACUGGAACUGCGGUGGCAUGGUAGUGCUGAUAGGUUAUUUUUGAAAAAGGAUCGGUGCAGUCCAGAAGUUGAAGCAGAGGUACUUGAGGGCCUGUGCCCUCCCUUAGGACUUGAAAAACUGGAAAUAUGGAACUAUCACGGUACGAGGUACCCAGAUUGGAUGGUGGGUAAGCAGAACGGUGGCCUGCAAGAACUUGUGUUGUGGGAUUGGGGACAACUGGGGCCUGCUCCUCAGCUUGUUGAGUGUUUCCCACAUCUUCAUGUGCUAAAGCUUUGGAACUGCAGCUGGUACGCCUUACCAGGAAAUAUGGAGCACCUCACAUCGCUCAGGGAACUGGUGGUUAGUUCAUGCCCGAAUAUCCGUUCGCUUCCAACAUUGCCCCAGUCUCUCGAGGGGCUUCGUCUAGCAUACUUGGAUGAUGACUUCAUAGAGUCCUGCCAAACAGUCGGACAUCCAAACUGGCAAAAGAUUGAGCACGUUUGUAAUAAAAGAUUUACCUGA
rnacentral:rRNA from 1 species